rnacentral:rRNA from 1 species
CAAUAGCGUAUAUUAAAGUUGUUGCAGUUAAAAAGCUCGUAGUUGGACUUCUGAUGUGGGACUGCGCCCCGGUAUUUUGCCGUUGGGUGCGGGCUCGCGUCUUCCUCUCGUAGUUGGAUGGUGCACUUAACUGGGUGCCUUCUGAAUAUGGGACCUUUACUUUAGAAAAAAUUAGAGUGUUCAAAGCAGGCAAUCGCUUGAAUACAUUAGCAUGGAAUAAUAGAAUAGGACUUUGGUUCUAUUUUGUUGGUUUAUGGGACCGAAGUAAUGAUUAACAGGGACAGUUGGGGCCGUUUAUAUUUCGUUGUCAGAGGUGAAAUUCUUGGAUUUACGAAAGAUAAACUUCUGCGAAAGCAUUCGGCAAGGAUGUUUUCAUUGAUCAAGAACGAAAGUUAGGGGAUCGAAGACGAUCAGAUACCGG